rnacentral:rRNA from 1 species
GUCUUUUUGAAUUUAUAUAAAAAGUCUGUUCUGCCCCCUGAUUUAUUAAAUGGCCGCAGUAUAUUAACUGUGCAAAGGUAGCAUAAUCAUUAGUUUUUUAAUUGGAGACUUGUAUGAAUGAAUGGACGAGAUAUAAACUGUUUCAGAGAAAUUUAUAGAAUUUUAUUUUUUAGUCAAAAAGCUAAAAUGUUUUUAAAAGACGAGAAGACCCUAUAGAUCUUUAUAACUCAAAAAUUAUAAAUUAUAUAAGAAUUUUUUAUUUUAUAAUUUAUGAGUUAUUAUGUUGGGGUGACAUUGAAAUUUAAUUAACUUUUGAUUAUUUAAAACAUUAAUAUAUGAAUUUAUGAUCCAUUAUUAUUGAUUAAAAAUUUAAGUUACCUUAGGGAUAACAGCGUAAUUAUUUUGGAGAGUUCAUAUCGAUAAAAUAGUUUGCGACCUCGAUGUUGGAUUAAAAUUAAUUCUGGGCGUAGCCGUUUGGAAUAUUAAGUCUGUUCGACUUUUAAUUUCUU